GACGAAGGGGGCUAGGCGUUGUUCGGAAUUACUGGGCGUAAAGCGCGUGUAGGCGGUUAUCCAAGUCAGGUGUGAAAGCCUUGAGCUCAACUCAAGAAAUGCACUUGGUACUGGGUGACUAGAGGACCGGAGAGGAUAGUGGAAUUCCCAGUGUAGUGGUGAAAUACGUAGAGAUUGGGAAGAACACCAGUGGCGAAGGCGGCUAUCUGGACGGUUUCUGACGCUAAGACGCGAAAGCGUGGGGAGCAAACAGG
rnacentral:rRNA from 1 species